rnacentral:rRNA from 1 species
CGGGGAGCUUGCUCCCUGGCGGCGAGUGGCGGACGGGUGAGUAACACGUAGGAAUCUGCCCAUUAGUGGGGGACAACCCGGGGAAACCCGGGCUAAUACCGCAUACGCCCUUCGGGGGAAAGCGGGGGACCUUCGGGCCUCGCGCUAAUGGAUGAGCCUACGUCGGAUUAGCUUGUUGGUAGGGUAAUGGCCUACCAAGGCGACGAUCCGUAGCUGGUCUGAGAGGACGAUCAGCCACACUGGGACUGAGGCACGGCCCAGACUCCUACGGGAGGCAGCAGUGGGGAAUAUUGGACAAUGGGCGAAAGCCUGAUCCAGCAAUGCCGCGUGUGUGAAGAAGGCUUUCGGGUUGUAAAGCACUUUCAGUAGGGAAGAAAAGCUGGGGGCCAAUACCCCCUAGUGCUGACGUUACCUACAGAAGAAGCACCGGCCAACUCCGUGCCAGCAGCCGCGGUAAUACGGAGGGUGCGAGCGUUAAUCGGAAUUACUGGGCGUAAAGAGCUUGUAGGCGGUGU